UUCAUUGUUCCUAGCCUAAAUAACCUGAAGGCACCUGAUCCUGUCUGAUUUUGGAAGUUAAGCAGGUUUGCUUCUGGUUUGUAGUUGGAUAGAAAACUACCAGUGAAUGCCAGGUAGUAUGGGCU
rfam:Anolis carolinensis chromosome 6, whole genome shotgun sequence.